rnacentral:rRNA from 1 species
UACAGAGGGGGCAAGCGUUGUUCGGAAUUACUGGGCGUAAAGGGCGCGUAGGCGGCCUUCUAAGUCAGACGUGAAAUCCCUCGGCUCAACCGGGGAACUGCGUCUGAGACUGAAAGGCUUGAAUCCGGGAGAGGGAUGUGGAAUUCCAGGUGUAGCGGUGAAAUGCGUAGAUAUCUGGAGGAACACCCGUGGCGAAAGCGGCGCGCUGGACCACUACUGACGCUGAGGAACGAAAGCUAGGGGAGCAAACAGG